rnacentral:rRNA from 1 species
AUAACUCCGGGAAACCGGGGCUACUACCGGAUGCUCCUUUGAACCGCAUGGUUCAAACAUAAAAGGUGGCUUCGGCUACCACUUACAGAUGGACCCCCGGCGCAUUAGCUAGUUGGUGAGGUAACGGCUCCCCAAGGCAACAAUGCGUAGCCGACCUGAGAGGGUGAUCGGCCACACUGGGACUGAGACACGGCCCAGACUCCUACGGGAGGCAGCAGUAGGGAAUCUUCCGCAAUGGACGAAAGUCUGACGGAGCAACCCCGCGUGAGUGAUGAAGGUUUUCGGAUCGUAAAGCUCUGUUGUUAGGGAAGAACAAGUACCGUUCGAAUAGGGCGGUACCUUGACGGUACCUAACCAGAAAGCCACGGCUAACUACGUGCCAGCAUCCGCGGUAAUAAA